UUAAUACCCUCUGGUAAAAUUAUGAUGGACAGUCGAUUAACGACUGCCUGAGGUUAGGAGAACAACAUAUAAAAACGGUCGCUGUUAGAAGGAACAUCAUUCUGCUCUCGUCACAAGAACAAGUCCCCGUGCAACUUGGGAAAAUCAGCUUUCAACUCAUUCACAAUGAAGGUUGCUGUCCUCCUGUUGCUGUGCGCCGUCGUGGCCAUGAGCUCCGCCAUCAUUAACCCUUACUUGUACAAGUUCGGCGGUCUGGGUCUGGGUGGUCUGGGUGGCUUUGGUGGCCUGGGAUUCGGCGGUCUUGGAUUUGGUGGACUGGGUGGACUGGGCUUUGGCGGUCUGGGACUCGGCCUCGGUAGGUUUGGUCUACUGGGCGGCGGUCUGUACGGAGGCUUUCCUUUCCUUGGAGGCUUCAAGGGCGGCCUGUACUACUAAAUGGCUGUAAACCAUCAGAUAUCGCCAUUGUCUCUCCUUAGUGAGAGUUAAAAUCAGGUGCUGGCUUCUUCUGAAGAACAGAUUCAAAUUUCAAUUUUAAGAAAACUGUGCUUCAUCGUAUUAAAUACAAAAUAAACAGAUAAAAGCUC